rnacentral:misc_RNA from 1 species
GAUGAAGAACGCAGCGAAAUGCGAUAAGUAGUGUGAAUUGCAGAAUUCAGUGAAUCAUCGAAUCUUUGAACGCACAUUGCGCCUCCUGGUAUUCCGGGAGGCAUGCCUGUUCGAGCGUCAUUAAAAUCACUCAAGCUUAGGUUUACCUAUUGCUUGGUCUUGGAGAUGGAAGCCAAUUUAUUGGAAUCCUCUUCGAAAUUCAAUGGCGAAGACCCUUGCUCUCCCAAGUGUAGUAAUAACUUAUGUCACUGAAGGAAGCGAGAAAUCUUCUGCCGUAACCCCCAUAUUUUCUAUGAUUGACCUCGGAUCAGGUAGGGAUACCCGCUGAACUUAAGCAUAUCAAUAAGCGGAGA